ACUCCUACGGGAGGCAGCAGUGGGGAAUAUUGCACAAUGGGGGAAACCCUGAUGCAGCCAUGCCGCGUGUGUGAAGAAGGCCUUCGGGUUGUAAAGCACUUUCAGUAGGGAGGAAGGUAGUGUAGUUAACACCUGCACUAUUUGUACGUUACCUACAGAAGAAGCACCGGCUAACUCCGUGCCAGCAGCCGCGGUAAUACGGAGGGUGCGAGCGUUAAUCGGAAUUACUGGGCGUAAAGCGCAUGCAGGCGGCCUGUUAAGUCAGAUGUGAAACGCCCGGGGCUUAACCUCGGAAUUGCAUUUGAAACUGGCAGGCUAGAGUCUUGUAGAGGGGUUAGAAUUUCGAGGUGUAGCGGUGAAAUGCGUAGAGAUC
rnacentral:rRNA from 1 species